AGCUGACCGCUCCACACAGCAGCUGUGCUGGCAAGGUAUGAAGUGCUCCCCAGGAAGGAAGCAGCCUCUGGAACCAUAACAGCUAGCAGAAGAUGUGGGGGCAUCUACAUUAGACUUCAGCUGUCAGAUGUGGGGAGAGAAGCCUUCUUCCACACUUGGGAGAAGCAGUGCUAUUCCCAGUGCUGGCAGGCAAAAGACAGCACCAGGAGGGGUCUCUCAAUCAGGAUCCUCUCCGUGAAGAUUGAGAUUGGGGAGAGCUUUCAGACCCCUGAAAACAGGAUGUAGGCCUGAUACUUAAGAAAAUCAGCUGGCUGAAAAAUGCAACGGCACAUGUACCAACACGAUCAGCAAACGUAUCAAUGAUCACACCAAAAAUCAAGUUAAGGACAAUAAUGAUCACCAUGAAGAAGAAGAGGAGAUCAUAUAUCACUCUAGCAGCAAAGAGAGGUUCCUGCAAGAUAAAUAUUUUAAUAAU